AUUUAAGAUUUGAUUAAGUUUAGGGUUAGAUUAGAUUUUAGGAUUGGGUUAGGAUUUAGGAUUUGAUUAGGAUUAGGAUUGGAUUAGGAUUUAGGAUUUGGUUAAGAUUUAGUUAAGAUUAAAAUUGAGUUAGGAUUAUAUUAGAAUUUAGAAUUUUGUUAAGAUUUGAUUAAGAUCAUGGUUGGAUUGGGAUUUAGGAUUUGAUUAAGAUUUGGUUAGAAUUUAGGAUUGGACUAGGAUUUAGGAUUUGGUUUAGAAUUUUAUUUAGGAUUUAGGAUUUGAUUUAAGAUUUAGGAUUUGUCUAGAAUUUGG
rnacentral:lncRNA from 1 species